GCGAGAAGUCCACUGAACCUUAUCAUUUAGAGGAAGGAGAAGUCGUAACAAGGUUUCCGUAGGUGAACCUGCGGAAGGAUCAUUGUCGAAUCCUGCCCCAGCAGAAUGACCAGAGA
rnacentral:rRNA from 1 species